rnacentral:rRNA from 1 species
UACGAAGGGGGGCUAGCGUUGCUCGGAAUCACUGGGCGUAAAGGGUGCGUAGGCGGGGUCUUUAAGUCAGGGGGUGAAAUCCUGGAGCUCAACUCCAGAACUGCCUUUGAUACUGAAGAUCUUGAGUUCGGGAGAGGUGAGUGGAACUGCGAGUGUAGAGGGUGAAAAUUCGUAGAUAUUCGCAAAGAACACCCAGUGGCGAAGGG